rnacentral:rRNA from 1 species
UACGGGAGGCAGCGGUGGGGAAUAUUGCACAAUGGGCGCAAGCCUGAUGCAGCCAUGCCGCGUGUAUGAAGAAGGCCUUCGGGUUGUAAAGUACUUUCAGUCGUGAGGAAGGUGUUAAGGUUAAUAACCUUAGCAAUUGACGUUAGCGACAGAAGAAGCACCGGCUAACUCCGUGCCAGCAGCCGCGGUAAUACGGAGGGUGCGAGCGUUAAUCGGAAUUACUGGGCGUAAAGGGCACGCAGGCGGUUAAUUAAGUUGGAUGUGAAAUCCCCGGGCUUAACCUGGGAAUGGCAUUCAAGACUGGUUAGCUAGAGUCUUGUAGAGGGGGUAGAAUUCCAUGUGUAGCGGUGAAAUGCGUAGAGAUGUGGAGGAAUACCGGUGGCGAAGGCGGCCCCUGGACAAAGACUGACGCUCAUGUGCGAAAGCGUGGGGAGCAAACG